UUGAAAUAGGAAACUCCUCGCUUCAUCAUCAUGUCCCGUGUCGUCAUCGUAGGAGGUGUGGCCGGCGGAGCAACCGCAGCGGCUCGUAUUAAACGACUCUCUGCAAAGCACGCCGUCACUAUGAUCGAGCGGUCCCCUGAUAUUUCUUUUGCCAACUGCGGACUUCCGUAUUUUAUCGGUCGAGAGAUUCAGGACGCGUCCCGCCUUGCCCUUCAGACGCCGAAAACUUUCAGCGACGCACUCGGUGUGGAUGUGCGAACCGAGACGACAGUGAAGGUCGUAGAUCCCAAAAAGAAAGUUGU
rnacentral:ribozyme from 1 species